rnacentral:lncRNA from 1 species
AUAAUCAUAUCCACGUAUUUUUUUAUUUGAAGAAACUUCUAAUACCAUCCUUAUAAUAAUUUCACAAUUUUUUAUUUUAGUAGUCUAUAAUUUAAAAUGUAUCACUUUUGCACCCUUUGGUUUAUUUUUUCCUUUCCAUCAUCCCCUCUAUUAAUUUUUCGUUAAAUCAGUGACAAAAUUAAACCGCAUGGUACUAAAGUAAAAAUUUGGUAAACCAUAGGAUACUAAAAUGAAUAUUCGAUAAAUCAUAGGUGGAAUGUCUGAAAUUUUUUUGUAUAUAAUUUAAUGAAGAGUUAACAAAGACGCUGACGAAAAAUAAAAUAAAAUAACAGGAUAUUUAAGUGAUAUACUUUAAACCAAAAGAUACUAAAAUGAGAAAGCGCGAAAUCAUGAGAUGGUAUUUGAAGUUUGCCCUUUUUAUUUUGGUAAAAAACGUGAUGUGGAGGAGACGUAUCUUCUCCAAGAAACGAAAAGAUAUUUUCUUUAAGAAACAAAGAGAUUUCUCCAAGAAACGAAGAGAUUGAAUAGAGAAGUAUAAAAGUUCACAUUUUAUCUUUCAAAUAC